ACCUGAUUGGCUCAGUUGGUAGAGCAUGUGACUCUUAAUCUCAGGGUUGUGAGUUCAAGCCCCACGUUGGGUA
rnacentral:tRNA from 1 species